ACGAACGCUGGCGGCGUGCUUAACACAUGCAAGUCGAACGGGGAUGCUCCAGCUUGCUGGAGUGGAUCAGUGGCGAACGGGUGAGUAACACGUGAGCAACCUGCCCCAGACUCUGGAAUAAGCGCUGGAAACGGCGUCUAAUACUGGAUACGAAACUGGCCCGCAUGGGCAUGGUUUGGAAAGUUUUUCGGUUUGGGAUGGGCUCGCGGCCUAUCAGCUUGUUGGUGAGGUAAUGGCUCACCAAGGCGACGACGGGUAGCCGGCCUGAGAGGGCGACCGGCCACACUGGGACUGAGACACGGCCCAGACUCCUACGGGAGGCAGCAGUGGGGAAUAUUGCACAAUGGGCGAAAGCCUGAUGCAGCGACGCCGCGUGAGGGAUGACGGCCUUCGGGUUGUAAACCUCUUUCAGCAGGGAAGAAGCGAAAGUGACGGUACCUGCAGAAGAAGCACCGGCUAACUACGUG
rnacentral:rRNA from 1 species